rnacentral:lncRNA from 1 species
AAAAAUCCCCAAUUUCUAGGGUUUUUCCAUACUCUUUUUGGGUGAAAUUAGAUUGUCGAAAUUUGGGGAAAACUAUCUUGGUGUUCAAUUGGACAGAAUCACAAUCUCCUUGAGGGUUUCAAGAACCCUAACACUUAUUUCUAUUCUCAAUUUGAUUCUUUGCUGAUUUGGGGAUUUUAUUUCAGAUCUGAAAAUUCAAAAAUCUAAUCUUUUAAUUUUCU